GUUAUGUAGCUCAGUGGUAGAGUGCUUGCCUAACAUGUGAGAGGCCCUGGGUUUGAUUCUCAGAACA
rnacentral:tRNA from 1 species